rnacentral:snRNA from 1 species
AGAUGUGAAGGUGAUCUAGCUGCAACAUGUCACCCCGUUGAUCGCCAGGGUUGAUUUGGCUGAUAUGGCUGGCUAGGCGGGUGUCCCCUCCCUCCCUUAUUGAUCUAUGUGCAUCCCUCCCAAAGCUGUGAGCUUGAUCAAAGGGGACAACCUUCCAAAUAGAGGCAUUAUCAUUCUUCCAUCAAGGGUAUAUGGGUUGCUGUGCUCCCCUGCUAGAACAAGCUCCCAAGGUCCAUUUCUUUCUCAGGCCAUCACAUCCAUACUGGUUAAAUUCUUUUCCUUCUACAUAU